GGAUUAGAUACCCUGGUAGUCCACGCCGUAAACGAUGAGAACUAGAUGUUGGAGGGAUUUAGCCCUUCGGUGUCGUAGCUAACGCGUUAAGUUCUCCGCCUGGGGAGUACGCCGGCAACGGUAAAACUCAAAGGAAUUGACGGGGACCCGCACAAGCGGUGGAGCAUGUGGUUUAAUUCGAUGCAACGCGAAGAACCUUACCUGCCCUUGACAUCCUCGGAACUUGUCAGAGAUGACUUGGUGCCUUCGGGAACCGAGAGACAGGUGCUGCAUGGCUGUCGUCAGCUCGUGUUG
rnacentral:rRNA from 1 species